ensembl:snRNA U6 U6 spliceosomal RNA
GUGCUCGCUUUGGCCGCACGUACACUAAAAUUGGCACAAUACAAAGAUUAGCAUGUUUCCUGCUCAAGGAUGAGACGCAAAUUCGUGAAGUGUCCCAUUUUAUU